ensembl:snoRNA
CUGAGCUAGUGAUGAUUAUAAAGUUAUCCCUGUCUGAACAGCAGUUUUUGUGUGGAUUCUGUCUUGCUGAGGCCCAG